ACCGAUUGGUCGUAGGUUCAAGUCCUACCUGGGGAGAUGACUAGUUACUUAUAAAUUUUGUUCGGUUUUAAAACGGACCUGGAGACACUUGUGUCGUCGUUUGGUGGGUUGGUGGGGGAAGGAGUGCAAGGCCGUAUUUACAGCGCGUUACUNUUAGGUGUGCGCUGUAAGGUAAGGAACAAUCAACUACAGAGUCUUAAGGCAAUUAGCUAACAUACCCGGUCGAAGACUGUAUAAUUUUAUAUCCGACAUCCCGGCGUUUGGCAGUAUUUAGGUCGAUGGCCGUUACGUAGCAACGGUAUAAAAAAGCAAGGACUCCGGUGCUAAGCACCGGAAUAAACUAACCUACCGAAAGCCAUGGGCCUUAUUUACUACGCUAGGUUACUAAGAAGAAAGAGGUGGAUGCUAGUAUACUCUAGUAUACUUUACAAAAAACUAAAAAUAUGAUAUUUUUAGUAUAUAUAAGUAUAUAUACUAAAACUUUUAUUCAGAUCAUUAGCUUAAGAUCGUUUUAUGUUAGUUAAACUCGCGCAAAGCGCUCCUUGGCUUUUAACUGCGCACAAGGACUACCACAGACUUGUGGCUUUAGACAGAAGAUUUGUGUCUUCGUUAGAAACACGGUUGUGCCAACCGCAAACAGCACAGAUUCUUACGUUAGAACGACAGGUGCUCCUCAUCCUACUACAUACUUCGGUAACGUAGUUAAAGUAACAUCGGACUACAUUGUCCGUAAGAAUAGAAUUUAAUUCUAAUAAAGUAAAUUCUAUUUUUACGGAUCUAAUAAAGUAAAUUCUAUUUUUACGGAUCUAAUAAAGUAAAUUCUAUUUUUACGGACGACCUUUCUUCUCUGAGAAACAGAGGUUAAGUAACUAUAACUCAUUCCUGUACGGGAAUCUAGUUUCGGUUGAAGACCUACAGUUAGACUCACUGUAUGGUUUGUUUUAAGGUUUGUUUUUUAUUUUGUGAAUCGCAGGGUAGAGCAGUCUGGCAGCUCGUGGG
rnacentral:lncRNA from 1 species